rnacentral:rRNA from 1 species
CCUACGGGUGACAGCAGUAGGGAAUAUUGCUCAAUGGGGGAAACCCUGAAGCAGCAACGCCGCGUGGAGGAUGAAGGUUUUCGGAUUGUAAACUCCUUUUGUUAGAGACGAAAAUGACGGUAUCUAACGAAUAAGCACCGGCUAACGCCGUGCCAGCAGCCGCGGUAAUACGGAGGGUGCAAGCGUUACUCGGAAUCACUGGGCGUAAAGAGCGCGUAGGCGGGAUAGCAAGUCAGAUGUGAAAUCCUAUGGCUUAACCAUAGAACUGCAUUUGAAACUGUUAUUCUAGAGUAUGGGAGAGGUAGGUGGAAUUCUUGGUGUAGGGGUAAAAUGCGUAGAGAUCAAGAGGAAUACUCAUUGCGAAGGCGACCUGCUAGAACAUAACUGACGCUGAUGCGCGAAAGCGUGGGGAGCAAACAGGAUUAGAUACCCCGGUAGUC